rnacentral:rRNA from 1 species
UGGGGAAUUUUGGACAAUGGGGGAAACCCUGAUCCAGCCAUUCCGCGUGAGUGAAGAAGGCCUUCGGGUUGUAAAGCUCUUUCAGCAGGAACGAAACGGCAGGCUUUAAUACAGCCUGCUAAUGACGGUACCUGCAGAAGAAGCACCGGCUAACUACGUGCCAGCAGCCGCGGUAAUACGUAGGGUGCGAGCGUUAAUCGGAAUUACUGGGCGUAAAGCGUGCGCAGGCGGCGGCAUAAGACAGAUGUGAAAUCCCCGGGCUCAACCUGGGAACUGCGUUUGUGACUGUGCUGCUAGAGUGUAGCAGAGGGGGGUGGAAUUCCACGUGUAGCAGUGAAAUGCGUAGAGAUGUGGAGGAACACCGAUGGCGAAGGCAGCCCCCUGGGUUAACACUGACGCUCAUGCACGAAAGCGUGGGGAGCAAACA